GCACUCGCUUUGGCAGCACAUACGCUAAAACUGGAAGGACACAGAGAAGAUUAGCAUGGCCCCUGAGCAAGGAUGACACACAAAUUCUUGAAGUGUUCCAUAUUUUU
ensembl:snRNA U6 U6 spliceosomal RNA